GCUGGGUGUGGUGGUGCAUGCCUGUAAUCCCAGCUACUUGGGAGGCUGAGACAGGAGAAUCACUUGAACCCAGGAGAUGAAGGUUGCAGUAAGCCGAGGUCGCGCCACUGCACUCUAGCCUGGGUGACAGAGAGAGAUUCUAUCUCAA
rnacentral:SRP_RNA from 1 species